rnacentral:rRNA from 1 species
GAUGAACGCUGGCGGCGUGCCUAAUACAUGCAAGUCGAGCGAAUGGAUUAAGAGCUUGCUCUUAUGAAGUUAGCGGCGGACGGGUGAGUAACACGUGGGUAACCUGCCCAUAAGACUGGGAUGACUCCGGGAAACCGGGGCUAAUACCGGAUAACAUUUUGAACCGCAUGGUUCGAAAUUGAAAGGCGGCUUCGGCUGUCACUUAUGGAUGGACCCGCGUCGCAUUAGCUAGUUGGUGAGGUAACGGCUCACCAAGGCAACGAUGCGUAGCCGACCUGAGAGGGUGAGCGGCCACACUGGGACUGAGAAACGGCCCAGACUCCUACGGGAGGCAGCAGUAGGGAAUCUUCCGCAAUGGACGAAAGUCUGACGGAGCAACGCCGCGUGAGUGAUGAAGGCUUUCGGGUCGUAAAACUCUGUUGUUAGGGAAGAACAAGUGCUAGUUGAAUAAGCUGGCACCUUGACGGUACCUAACCAGAAAGCCACGGCUAACUACGUGCCAGCAGCCGCAGUAA